rnacentral:rRNA from 1 species
AGAGUUUGAUCAUGGCUCAGACGAACGCUGGCGGCGUGCUUAACACAUGCAAGUCGAACGCGCAGCAUUCUGUAGCAAUACAGGGUGUGGGCGCGUGGCGAACGGGUGCGUAACACGUGGAUAACCUUCCUUGAGGUGGGGAAUAACCCAGUGAAAAUUGGGCUAAUACCGCAUAACAUCGCGAUGGCACAUGCUGAUGCGAUCAAAGGCGCAAGUCGCCACAAGAGGGAUCCGCGGCCGAUUAGCUUGUUGGCGAGGUAAUGGCUCACCAAGGCAAUGAUCGGUAGCCGGACUGAGAGGUUGGCCGGCCACACUGGAACUGAGACACGGUCCAGACUCCUACGGGAGGCAGCAGUGGGGAAUCUUGCACAAUGGACGAAAGUCUGAUGCAGCAACGCCGCGUGGGGGAUGAAGCUUCUCGGAGUGUAAACCCCUUUCGACCCGGAAGAAUGCCCGCAAGGGUAUGACGGUACGGGUAUAAGAAGCCCCGGCUAACUACGUGCCAGCAGCCGCGGUAAUACGUAGGGGGCCAGCGUUGCUCGGAAUUAUUGGGCGUAAAGGGUCCGUAGGCGGUGUAGCAAGUCGAUAGUGAAAUCUCUGGGCUUAACCCAGAGGCUGCUAACGAAACUGCUGUGCUAGAGUGUGAGAGAGGCGAGUGGAAUUACGGGUGUAGCGGUGAAAUGCGUAGAUAUCCGUAGGAACAUCCGAGGCGAAGGCGGCUCGCUGGAUCACAACUGACGCUGAGGGACGAAAGCUAGGGGAGCAAACAGGAUUAGAUACCCUAGUAGUCC